rnacentral:misc_RNA from 1 species
UCUCCGUAGGUGAACCUGCGGAGGGAUCAUUACCGAGUGAGGGCCUCCGGGCUCGACCUCCAACCCUUUGUAUACCGACCCUGUUGCCUCGGGGGUGACCCUGCCGUUCGCGGCGUGGGGCCCCCGGAGCCCAUCAAACCCUGCGUAACUAAGUCGUCGGAGUUUAAACAAAUUAAACAAAACUUUCAACAACGGAUCUCUUGGUUCGGGCAUCGAUGAAGAACGCAGC